GACGAACGCUGGCGGCGUGCUUAACACAUGCAAGUCGAACGGAAAGGCCCUGCUUUUGUGGGGUGCUCGAGUGGCGAACGGGUGAGUAACACGUGAGUAACCUGCCCUUGACUUUGGGAUAACUUCAGGAAACUGGGGCUAAUACCGGAUAGGAGCUCCUGCUGCAUGGUGGGGGUUGGAAAGUUUCGGCGGUUGGGGAUGGACUCGCGGCUUAUCAGCUUGUUGGUGGGGUAGUGGCUUACCAAGGCUUUGACGGGUAGCCGGCCUGAGAGGGUGACCGGCAACAUUGGGACCGAGAUACGGCCCAGACUCCUACGGGAGGCAGCAGUGGGGAAUAUUGCACAAUGGGAGGAAGCCUGAUGCAGCAACGCCGCGUGCGGGAUGACGGCCUUCGGGUUGUAAACCGCUUUCGCCUGUGACGAAGCGUGAGUGACGGUAAUGGGUAAAGAAGCACCGGCUAACUACGUG
rnacentral:rRNA from 1 species